GAGGCUGUUUAACCCUGUAUUAUGUAUAUUCAACCCAUAUUGGGUUACUUUCAGUAACCCAGUAGUUGGGUUAAUGGUUUUGGACUGUGCCUUGAUCUGAAUAACCCAACCAAUGAUCAUUUUAACCCAGUGGUUUGGUUACAUUCAAGUUUGGGAUCCUCCUCCAACGGUCUUUUUCUUUUCCUCCGAGGCGUGAGAACACUUUUGGAAACGGUGAAGCGAUUGAAUAUGGAGGACUUUGUUAAACCAAAGUUAGAAGAACGGCAACUUCUGGAGCUGAUUGACACUUUUGCAGAUUGCGCAGGACUUUGAGAUCCUUCAUAAAGAGGCAUCAGACUAAAUGUUUGACCUGGAGGAGGUUCAGCGAGAAGCUUCUUCAUGCGGCCCAGCAGGGGGGAGCUCCACGUGCAGACAGAGUAUUUGUCUCAAGGCUCCAAAGACUACAUUGCCCCGAUGGUUCUGCCAAGCCUGAUUCCACCUGCAGUCUUCAGGAUGGGCCGAAAGACCGUGAGGACUACAGUG